rnacentral:lncRNA from 1 species
ACACACACACGGUUUCAGUCUUGGCUGAAACCUGAACCCAGGAAAUAUGUGGCACUUGAACUGCCUUUGCUUCAUUGCAUACAUGGUGUAUAUAUACAAGCCUUGUACCAACUAUAAGGUACACAAGGCAUGGCUGGGUACAGCCCCAACUACUCCUAGUACACUGCAUACAUCAUCCUCCUACCAAGUAUGGCUGAUGUAUGGUUCUACCAACUACUGUACUAGAGUGGCCUAUUGCCAUACUCCUAUGUGACCAAGAGCUAGCCUAUUGCCUGCCUAUGAUCAUCUAACAGAACAAGAAAGGUUUAGCUGCAGAUUAUGUCUUACAGUUCUUCCCCUAAUCCUGUUGCUAAGCCUUGACCUCAUCCAUGCCAAUCAUCUUCCUCAGCUCAACAAACCUGAGGCGUCCGAGGGACUUGGUGAGAAUGUCAGCGAGUUGCCUGCCGGUGUCGACAAACUCGAUGGUGAUCUGUCCUCCAUCAACGCAAUCCCUGAGGAAAUGGAACUUGACGUCGAUGUGUUUGCUCCGGUCAUGGAGCACCGGGUUCUUGGCAAGAGCAAUGGCCGGCUGAUUGUCCACCAGCAAAGCCGGCGGCUGAGACUCCUUCCCAGUGAGCUCCUUCAGCAGCCGCCGCAACCAGACCGCCUGACAUGCCGCCGUAGCAGCAGCCACAUACUCUGCCUCGCAGGUUGACAGUGCCACUGUCUUCUGCUUCAGUGAUUGCCAGGCCACCGGCGCUGCUCCGAGGAAAACGAACACCCCGGAGGUGCUUUUCCGCCCAUCCAUAUCACCCGCCAUGUCUGCAUCACUGAACACGGUGAGCCCUGGCUCGCCGUCCUUUGCCCUGGGCGGCGCUUCGCUGAACACCUUCAGCCGAAGAUCGCCGUGCUUGGGGAAAACGACACCGAGGUCCAAAGACCCCUGGAUGUACCGCAGCAGUCGCUUGACCGCCGCCCAGUGGUCCUCCCUUGGAUCCUCCAUGAAUCUGCUCACAUACCCGACCGCGAACGCGAUGUCCGGCCGGGUGUGAGUGAGCCAGCGCAGCCCACCGACGAUGCUUCGGUAUCGUGUGGCAUCAACCUUCUUCGCCACACUUUGUUUGGAGAGCUUGAUCCGCUCCUCCAUCGGUGUUGCUGCAGCCCUGCAGUCGCCCAUUCCAGCCCGCUCCAGCAGCUUCAGCGCGUAGGCGCGCUGCCCCCGCCUGACCGCGUCCUUCCCCUGCUUCACCUCGAUGCCGAGGUAGUACGAGAGCGCGCCUAGAUCGCUCAUCUUGAAUCGGGCCGCCAUCUCCGCCUUGAAUUUGGCGAUGUCUUCCUCCCGCGCGCCAGUGACGAUCAGAUCGUCCACAUACACACCGACGAUGAGCUCCUCCUUCCCCCGUCGUCGUGUGUACAGGGCGUGCUCCGUGGCGCACCGUGUGAAGCCAAGUUCCGCCAUGGUGGCGUCGAGUUUGGCAUUCCAUGCCCGCGGGGCCUGCCGCAGGCCAUACAGCGCCUUCCGCAGCCGAAGCACCUUGCGCUCUUCCCCUUUCACCUGAAAGCCUGGCGCCUGCUUGACGUAAACUUCUUCCGCCAGCUCGCCGUUCAGGAAGGCCGACUUGACGUCGAGGUGGUGGACUCCCCAAUCCUUGGCCGCUGCGAGUGCCAGCAGCAAUCUCACCGACUCCAUGCGCGCCACCGGCGCAAACACCUCCUCGAAGUCGAUGCCUUCGCGCUGCACAAAGCCACGGGCCACCAGCCGCGCCUUGUGCUUGACGAUCGCGCCGUACUCGUCCUUCUUGACCUUGUACACCCACUUGAGGCCAAUCGGCCGGCAUCCCGCCGGCGGAUCAACCAGCUCCCAGGUGUGGUUGUCUUCGAUGGACCGCAGCUCCUCCAGCAUGGCACGCCGCCAAUUUGGGUCGCGUUCCGCCACGGCAAAGGAUGUGGGCUCUUCUGCGCUCAUCAGCAGAAGCUCAGGGUCGUCGUCGAGCAGCCGUGCUGCGACCCCAGGCACCUCUGCUUCCCCGAUGAUGCCCUCGAUUCGGCGAAAACGGACCUCCUCGCCGUCGUGGUAAGCAUCCACAAACUCGGUGUAGUCACUUGGUGGUGUGGCGAAUUCGACGUCUCCGGCCGCUGGCGUUGCCAGCCCCGGCGAGGCUGGGGAUCCCACCCCAGCCGCCGGGGAGUGGACUGGCGUUCCAGCUGUCGCUGGACUUGGUGGCUCCUCCACCUCUGGAGCUGCAGUGGCACCGGCUUCCCCGGUUGCUGGCCCUCCUGACCCUUCUUCCCUGCCGUGGAUCGUCAUGUGUUCCACGACAAAAGUGUCGCCAAGCCCACCACCUCCUUGCUCCUCCACCUGGUCCCAUUUCCACGCCGCCGCCUCGUCGAACACCACAUCUCGUGAUACCAGCACCUUUCCGCCGACCGGAUCGUAGAGCCGAUAGGCCUUUGAUCCCUCCUCGUAGCCGAGGAACACCGCCUUGGUGCUCCUGUCUUCCAGCUUUGUGAGGCCCGGCUUGGUGGUCUUCACAUGGCCGACACAACCAAACGUGCGUAGGAACGCGACGUUCGGCUUGCGUCCGUGCCAAGCCUCGAAUGGAGUCUGCCCCUUCAACGCCUUGGUGGGGCAACGGUUCAGGAUGAACACUGCUGUGCUCACGGCUUCUCCCCAGAACUCAGCCGGCAUGUCCUUCGCCUUCAGCAUAGACCGCGCCAUGCCGAUGAUGGUCUGGUUCCGGCGCUCUACCACACCGUUCUGCUGCGGUGAGUAGGGGGCUGUGAGAUGACGCCCUACUCCUUCCUCGGCGCAGUACGUGGUGAAUUCAGCCGCCGUGAACUCACCGCCGCGGUCAGUCCGAAGCACCUUCAGCUUCUUCCCGGACUCCAUCUCCGUGCGCGCCUUGAAGUGCUUGAUUGCCUCCGCCGCGUCGCUCUUGCUCGUCAGGAGCUGCAGCCACAUGUACCGGCUGCAGUCAUCCACGAGCAAGAGGAAGUACCUCCUCCCGCCGUGCGUCGCCGGCGUGAUCGGCCCGCAAAGGUCCCCAUGGACCAGCUCAAGCGGAUCCGCCGCGCGGUACCUGGCGGUCUUCGGGAACGGCAGCCUCCUCUGCUUCCCUGCCAGGCAACUGUCGCACAGCUCGCUGACAUGCUGGAUCGCCAGCAGCCCUGUCACCAUCUUCCCAAGACGGCCCAGCGCGUCGAAACUGAGGUGGCCGAACCGGCCAUGCCACAGCCAGGGCUCCUCCUUGCAUGACGCCGCCAAACAUACGGGCUGCUCUACCUUCAAGUCCAGAAGAUAGAGUCGGUUACGAGAGCGCGAUACCUUGGCGAGAAGACGCCGCUCCCUGUCCCUGAUCCGCAACACCCCGUCGCGAAUCAGGACCUCGCUGCCGCGUUCGUCCAACUGUCCCAGGCUGACGAUGCUGGUGCGCAGCUGGGGAAUGAAGUAGACAUCCGUCAAGGCACGGUGCUCGCCGUUCCUGCACCGGAAGAGGACGGUGCCGCGGCCGCGAAUCUGCACCUUCGAGCCAUCCCCGAACUUCACGCUUCCGGUGGCUGACUCGUCGAGGUUGGAGAAGGCGGUGCGGCUCCCUGUCAUGUGGUUGCUCGCACCUGAGUCGAGGUACCACCUCUGCUCCAGCUCUUCACCGUCCGCUCCAAGGAGGACGCGCGCGCGAGACUCGUCAAGUUCGACGGCCUGCGGCGCAGUCCCUUGCUCCGCCUCCGCCUCCCCUGCUUCGCCUUCCUGCAGCGCGCAAUACUCCCCCAUCAACAGAGCGCACUCGUCGUCGCUGUCGUCCCGAGCUAGGUGGGCCUCUCCCUUCUUCUCCGGCUUCUUCUCCGGGCAUUCUCGUGCCCAGUGCCCCACUUUCCCGCAGCGCCGGCAGGCGUUGGGGUCGGUGUUCUUCUUCUUCUUCUUCUUGUGCGCCGGCGGCUUCCCGCGCCCCUUGGCGCCAUCACCUCCGCGGCUGGAGGAGCCUUCCCCGGUCCGGCGCUUGUCCUUCAUGCGCGCGGUCCACUCCUCUUCCGUCAGGAGUAGCUUGGCCUUCUCCUUCUCCGGUGCCGGCGUGAUGCGGCUCUCUGCAACUCGCAGCCGCCCAGCCACGUCCUCCAGAGACAAUGUGGAGAUGUCCAACAUCGUCUCAAUGGACAUGGCAAGCUGCGAAUACUUGGCCGGGACGGUGCACAGCAGCUUGGUGACGAGGUCCUCGUCGUCCACCUUCUUCCCGUAGGUGGCCAGUUGCGUGGCCAGGGAUUGAAGACGGAGAGUGUACUCCUCCACCGACUCUCCGGGCUUGAACUUGAUGUCGUUGAGCUCCCUGCGGAGCUGCUGGAUCCUGGCCCGCUUGGCUCGGUCCGAGCCGACACGCAGCGACUCCAGCAUCUCCCAGGCCUGCUUCGCGGUGUCCUUGGCGCCCAGCGCCUCGUGGUACUCCGCCGGCGUCGAGGCCAUGAGCGCCUCCAUGACUCCCACCUGGGCGUCCUCGGUGCGAUCAUCUUCCUCAAUCGCCCGCCACCACUUCCGCGCGCGCAGCUUCCACUUCAUCUGCGUCGCCCACUCACCGUAGUUGGUGCGGGUGAGCAUGGGCCAGGAGCUGCUGCCGCCGAACUCCUUCACCACGCGCACCUCCACCUGCGGUGGCGCCGGCUGGAGCUGACGCUCCGCGCCCUCCCCUCCACCGUUCCGAGCCGCACCGUCCGCCAUCGCCGGUCGAUGGACCUAGCACACGGCUUGUACGGCUCCGAUACCAAUUGUUGGCACCUGCACACAGGCACCAGGUAAGCAGACCCUGCUCACCUUCCCUCUUCCUCCCCCUGACCCAAGGUAGAAGAUGAGCCGAGCUCAGGCACACAUACACACACACACGGUUUCAGUCUUGGCUGAAACCUGAACCCAGGAAAUAUGUGGCACUUGAACUGCCUUUGCUUCAUUGCAUACAUGGUGUAUAUAUACAAGCCUUGUACCAACUAUAAGGUACACAAGGCAUGGCUGGGUACAGCCCCAACUACUCCUAGUACACUGCAUACAUCAUCCUCCUACCAAGUAUGGCUGAUGUAUGGUUCUACCAACUACUGUACUAGAGUGGCCUAUUGCCAUACUCCUAUGUGACCAAGAGCUAGCCUAUUGCCUGCCUAUGAUCAUCUAACAGAACAAGAAAGGUUUAGCUGCAGAUUAUGUCUUACAAGCAAUAUGUCAGACUAUUUGUUGUUGUAGCCAUCAUCACAUCCAAGCAAAAGUAUUCAAUCACACCACAAAAG